AUUUCCUCCCCUCCCCCUCCUCCUCCCUUCAACCAACCAGCCUCCCGUCAGAGAGGGGCAUGCGCAGUGAGUGCCUCCCGUCUCUUCUACCCGAACCCCCCUCCCCCCCCAAGCAGAGAGACCCCAGCAGCAGCAGCAGCUGAUGAUGAAGAGAGAGGCAGUGGCAGAGGGGGGGCACCUUUUAUUUCUAUUUUUAAAGGGACAGGACACUAAUUUUACCCCACUUCAACCUUGAAUUGAGGGGGGUGGGGGGAAGGCGGCUGAGUUCCUUCCCCCACCCUCCAGCCUGGAGCCCUGAGAGGGGGAUUGAGCCUGAGAGAGAAGGAGAAGGAGUUUCUUCCUCUUCGAAAACCUCCAUCCACGACUCCUACCCCCUCACCCCUCCACUCGCUUCCCUCCGGAGCCCCCUCCACCCUCCUUCUCUUUGGCCGUGAGAGGAGGAGAGAAAGAGACCAAAAGCCUCUUAGCAACACAGACCCUUUGCUGUUGCUGCUGCUGCUGCUGUGGCUGCUGCUGUUGCUACUGCUGCUACUGCUGCUUGGCCCUGGCUGGAGACAUCUCACUACACCCAGGAGCAGCCACUUCCCCAGCUCUCCUCCUCCUCCUUCGCCUCCUCCUCCUCCACUCCCCCCCUUUAUUACCCUUUGUGUCAUCCUCCACAGCUCCAGGGAAGGCACUCAAAAGUGGGGGGCAGGAAAGAUGAUCCUUGGAGAUGUCAUUUUCUGCAUAUAUGAAAUAGAUCUUGAAGGGCUUAUGGUUUACAGACAAAAUGUUUAGAAGUUAGACACUCAAGGACCAAGAAAAUAAAUUCCAGAAACCAGGAGCACAGAAUAUUUUUCUUCAUCAAUCCAUAGAACUCUGAUACUUCUCUAAUUCCAUCAAACACAGGAAUGACCACCUUGGCAGAUGGCCGCAGAGGAUGUCAACAAUUUUUUGGAGGCAAGCAAUGAACUAUUUGUGCCAUUGAUUUUCUGUUAUUAAUUAAAUGAGAACAAGUAGAAUUGCCUUGUGUUUUAAUGGGGAAAAAGUUGUCUUUAUCAUAGAAUUUUAUAUAAGCAUAGCUAUUUCUUCGUUUUUUUCUUUUUCUUUUUUUCUGUUUAGAACUGUUGCAUGUCACAAAUUCUAUUAAGAUGUGUUUUCCCUUACCUGCAGUAUUAUACAGAAUAAGGCAUCAUUAAAUUCCUAAGUACAAAAUUCAGAUUUAAAUAACAGAAGUUAUUUGAAAAGAGGGCUCUUUGUAUCUACCUUGGAUAUAUAUAUAUCAUGUAACUGCAAGCACUAAAUAUAUUUGGAGAUUAAUUUCAACUUACUUUAGAAUUAUCCCGGUCAUUUGUGAAUUUUUUUCUUUUUAGUUUAAAUAAUUCUGCAUCUUUUCCUCCCUUAUAUUUAUUCUAAAGUGAUUCAAAAUCUUGGGAAGCCAUCCCUCUAUGUCCCUCACAGAUUUAUAUUUGUAAGAAUUCUGCAUUAAAAGAUUUCACUGACCUUUUAUUUAAUUUCAUGGCAGCCACUAUUGCUUCUGAAAGAGUAGUUGGGCAAGGAUUAUGGACCACAAUGCCAUCAUCAAAAUUGAAAUUAAUUACAUUACCCUUUAAAGGAAAAAUUUGCUUAGAAAGAAAUUGACCAUGCUUAAGAGGAAAAAAAAAUGUGUGUGUGUGUGUGUAAUCUGCAAUCUCCAUAUUCAUAAAAAAUAGACAUAAGUAGCUGAGGAUAAAAUGAAAUAAAAU
rnacentral:lncRNA from 1 species